AUGAUGCCGCACAUCACAGAGAUCAAGAUGGCCAUGCGCAUGCCGAUGCCGCCCGCCGACAUCGGCGAGAGCGUCACCACCGGCAACGGCUCUAGUGACCUUUCCAGGAUCUUCUCCAUGAGCUACUGGAAGGACACCAACUCCAGCAUCAUGUUCUUCACGCCUGGCCGCAAGAAGGCCAAGUUGUUCGGCGACAGCGAUGACGGCAUGGUCACCAGCUUCAGCAACAUUGACUCCCAGGAAAGAACAAGCAUCAACAAGAGGGUAAGGAGGCUGCAAGACCUCAUGACCAACAUGGACAAGGUCAUUGUGCGGUACAGAAACUUUACUCUGAAUUUGUCACUACAGGUUGACCAACGGGUGGACCGGUGCCGGCGUGAGGAUAGGGCCGGUGGAUGGAACAGAAGACAGUGGACGAUAUUGACAUUGGAGAACGGGCGCAUCUCCAUAGGUGGAAGUUUAUUUACCUGGACGAUGUUGGGGAUAUUCUGUGGCCCAAGUUCCCUACAGAAUAAUGCCCAGUCUAAUCUCAAUAGUGGGCAUGAUAGCCUCAAACUUCUCUUUUCAACAUUGAAGAAGCAGUUUACUCGGAUCAGUGGGCAUGCACUUAGAAAAAUAGCUAGAGAGUACGAGGAGAUAUUCCUGGAGUAA
rnacentral:rRNA from 1 species